rnacentral:lncRNA from 1 species
UUAUUAUUAUUAUUAAUUUGUUUUUUUUUUUUUAAAUCACUGUUACAAAAGGUUGUUUCAGCAGGCGGUUGCUUCCCUCCUGAGCAGGGCUGUUUUCCAUCUCUAUGAGGGUUGGAGGGGAGAAGGGUCUCGAGGAAUCCAGAAUUCUGGAAGGAUCCCAGAAUUUCAAGGGAUGCUGUGCAUGUCCCCUAACAGGCAAGGAAGGCAGCAGGCUUUGCUGUGGAAGUACUCCUAGAAAAUGAAGCUUAAAAGGCAUACUGACAAUGGUGCCUGAGUGAGCUGGCCUAUUUGAUGGAGUAGACAUACCAACAGUCUUGUGUCCCAGCCAGACAUGGACCCCAAAGCUCAGAGCUGUGAAGGCACUGGAGAAUUGCUGAUGGAAAAAGAAAACCCAGCGAUCAUCUCUAGUACGCAUGGGCCUCAGAGUAUUUGGCACAAGGCAGCAUGCAAGAUGAAAGUGUGUCUCUUGACAGCCAGCUCCGUACUGGCAGCCUUUACUCCAGGCAACAAAUUAAUCCACUUGACUGUGUUCGGCAUAAUUGUUGAUACUGCCUUAAUUGGUACCAUACGUUUCUCCGUGUCGACAUGUCCAUCAUGUUAUUGUCUGGGGACUGUUGUUUCCUACCAGCUUGGGAACAGCAUAAGCUGCUCCUUCCUAACCGAACUCUUACCGUAAGUGUCUC